rnacentral:misc_RNA from 1 species
ACAUGCAUGGCUUAAUCUUUGAGACAAGCAUAUGACUACUGGCAGGAUCAACCAGGUAGCAUUCUUUCUCGACUUCGGACCCGCAUUGAUGCCACGGGCCUAGACGGCCUGCGGUCAAUGAGGUAGCGAGAGUCAUUCUUAUCGAGGGACUUGAUUGGAGCGACCGGAGGCCAAGACCCCCCGCGUCCGCUUAAUUUUCCACAUCCGAGAGCACGAGCAGUUGUCCUGUGGACCGAGACAGCCACGACAAGAGUCAGAGGACACCUCCGGGACACGGGGACUGCUUUCGAGGUCCGCAUUGCAGCCGCAAAGCAACAAGGAGGACAGGUGCGGGGCUGUCCGACGAAUUUUUCCAUACGUUGGGAAGGCAACACAGGAAC